UACGUAGGGGGCGAGCGUUAAUCGGAAUUACUGGGCGUAAAGCGUGCGUAGGCGGUUCGUUAAGUUCGUUGUGAAAGCCCCGGGCUCAACCUGGGAAUGGCAAUGGAAACUGGCGGGCUGGAGUAUGGCAGAGGGGGGUGGAAUUCCGAGUGUAGCAGUGAAAUGCGUAGAGAUGCGGAGGAACACCGAUGGCGAAGGCAGCCCCCUGGGCCAAUACUGACGCUCAGGCACGAAAGCGUGGGGAGCAAACAGG
rnacentral:rRNA from 1 species